GUGAUUUAUUUAACGGCCGCGGUACCCUGACCGUGCAAAGGUAGCAUAAUCAAUUGUCUUUUAAAUGAAGACUAGUAUGAACGGCACCACGAGGGUUUAACUGUCUCCCCCCUUCAAUCAAUGAAAUUAAUUUUCCUGUGAAAAAGCAGGAAUAAAGCUAUAAGACGAAAAGACCCUAUGGAGCUUUAAACUUAUUACCACUUAUUCAAUCGUAUAACAGUUUAAAUAAUAAGACUGUUCUUCAAUAGUUUUCGGUUGGGGCAACCCUGGAGAAAAAUAAAUCCUCCAGAUUGAAAAAAAUAACCUUUAUAUAAGAACUACAGUUCAAAUAAACAAAAAUUUGACAAAACUGACCCAGAAUUAACUGAUCAGUGAACCAAGUUACCCUAGGGAUAACAGCGCUAUCCAUUUCGAGAGUCCAUAUUGACAAAUGGGUUUACGACCUCGAUGUUGGAUCGGGGUAUCCCAGCAGCGCAGCCGUUGCUAAUGGUUCGUUUGUUCAACGACUAACACCCCACGUGAUCUGAGUUCAGACCGGA
rnacentral:rRNA from 1 species